rnacentral:rRNA from 1 species
UACGGAGGGUGCGAGCGUUAAUCGGAAUUACUGGGCGUAAAGCGCACGCAGGCGGUUUGUUAAGCUAGAUGUGAAAGCCCCGGGCUCAACCUGGGAUGGUCAUUUAGAACUGGCAGACUAGAGUCUUGGAGAGGGGAGUGGAAUUCCAGGUGUAGCGGUGAAAUGCGUAGAUAUCUGGAGGAACAUCAGUGGCGAAGGCGACUCCCUGGCCAAAGACUGACGCUCAUGUGCGAAAGUGUGGGUAGCGAACAAG